rnacentral:rRNA from 1 species
UGGGGAAUUUUGGACAAUGGGCGAAAGCCUGAUCCAGCAAUGCCGCGUGUGUGAAGAAGGCCUUCGGGUUGUAAAGCACUUUUGUCCGGAAAGAAAUCCUUGGCUCUAAUACGGUCGGGGGAUGACGGUACCGGAAGAAUAAGCACCGGCUAACUACGUGCCAGCAGCCGCGGUAAUACGUAGGGUGCAAGCGUUAAUCGGAAUUACUGGGCGUAAAGCGUGCGCAGGCGGUUUGCUAAGACCGAUGUGAAAUCCCCGGGCUCAACCUGGGAACUGCAUUGGUGACUGGCAGGCUAGAGUAUGGCAGAGGGGGGUAGAAUUCCACGUGUAGCAGUGAAAUGCGUAGAGAUGUGGAGGAAUACCGAUGGCGAAGGCAGCCCCCUGGGCCAAUACUGACGCUCAUGCACGAAAGCGUGGGGAGCAAACAGGAUUAGAUACCCUGGUAGUCCACGCCCUAAACGAUGUCAACUAGUUGUUGGGGAUUCAUUUCCUUAGUAACGUAGCUAACGCGUGAAGUUGACCGCCUGGGGAGUACGGUCGCAAGAUUAAAACUUAAAUGAAUUGACGGGGUCAUAGCUGUUUCCU